GGCUAUAUAUUUUAAAUUAAAAUAUUAAAUUGCAAAUUUAACAAUGCAUGAAAUUGCUGUGGCUU
rnacentral:tRNA from 1 species